GUCAAUCCCCACUAGUUCUUUCCUCCGCCCUCUACGGGGGAAAGGGGGUCUGAUUGAAGUUAUUCAUUGCAAACCUGUUCUGUCUUAUUUGGAUUCUCUUGGUCAGUCAUGACAAAGUUAUGAAUUUCGAUAUAUGAAUUUUCAGGAGUGCACAAACACAAAUGCCACAUAACGUCAACCCCCUUUAGCCUCAGAGUAUCCUCAACUCGACAGGGCAUGAAUUCUACAAGGUGUAGAAAACGUUCCAUAGGGAUGCUGGCCCAUGUUGACUCCAAAGCUUCCCACAGUUGUGUCAAGUUGGCUGGGCGUCCCUUGGGUGGUGGACCAUUCUUGAGCGUGAAAAACGUAGCAGCGUUGCAGUUCUUGACACAAACUGGUGGCAACGACUAACAUACCCUGUUCAAAGGCACAUAAAUAUUUAGUCUCGCCCAUUCACCCUCUGAAUGGCACACAUAAACAAUCCAUGUCUCAAUUGUCUCAAGGCUCAAUCCUUCUUUAAUAACCUCUCCUCCCCUUAAUCUACACUGAUUGAAGUGGAUUUAACAAGUGACAUCAAUAAGGAAUCACAGCUUUCACCUCGAUUCACUUGGUCAGUCUAUGUAAUUUAAUGUUUUGUAUUGUCUUCAACUAUUUUACCACCCUCUCUCCAUCUCUGUGUAGUGGUGAGGCUGGAGUGUUGACAUGGAUCAUCCAUGGUUUUGCUAAUUCUCUUCCCCAGCCUGCUGGGACACCCCGGCUAGGCAGAGCCAACACUGAGCCCUCCACCAAACAGGAGGAGAACAGGUACAGAACUACUGUGUGUGUGUGUGUGUGUGUGUGUGUGUGUGUGUGUGUGUGUGUGUGUGUGUGUGUGUGUGUGUGUGUGUGUGUGUGUGUGUGUGUGUGUGUGUGUGUGUGUGUGUGUGUGUGUGUGUGUGUGUGUGUGUGUGUGAGUGAAUUAGUGAGAAAGCCGGAUGUGGAGGUCCUGGGCUGGAUUCUAUAUAGCAGAUGAUCUAAAUGACUACUUUGACACUGACAAACGGAGAAUCUGAGAUGAAACAAAACGGCCUUGUCUUGAAUCCAUCAAUAGCCUAGGUGAGUGGAGAUAUAUAUAUUUUACAAUAUUAGGGGAAAUUACAGUGUCUAAAAAAGCUUUCCAGUUUCACUGACUCACCCGCAGCUCACUCACUGGUGAUGGCUGAUGCCCAUGUCAAAAACAUUGCUCAAUGGGCCUGGUUGGAAGUUGAUAACAUAUUUAGUAGCCUACAGGCAGAUUUGUCUUCUCUUUUCAGCAGGAGUCAUUUGCUUUCCAAUCUGUGUUUUCCCAGGAUUGUAUUUUAAAUACUGCGAAAUACCUGUUUUCGUUGUAUGCUGUUCACUGACAGAUUUGCAGAGCGAUCCCAACAGUAGGCAUGCCUCGUGAUUAAGCUAUACCAAAAAGUUAUACAGCUGCACCAUCGAGAACAUCUUGACUGGCUACAUCACCGCUUGGUAUGGCAAUUGCAAUGCCUUGACCGUAAAACUCUACAAAGGGUGGUGCGGACAGCCCAGUAUAUCACUGGGGCCGAGCUCCCUGCUAUCCAGGACCUCUAUAUCAGGCGGUGUCAGAGGAACACCUGAAAAAUUGCCAAGGACUCCAGCCACCCAAUUCAUAGACUGUUCACCCUGCUACCGUCCGGGAGCAUAGGCUCUCGGACCAACAGGCUCCGAGACAGCUUCUACCCACAAG
rnacentral:lncRNA from 8 species